ACCGGUAAGGAUGCGGGUUGGUUAAGGAUGACAACGGACUUCUUCGGGAUGAAGAAUCAGGAUGCGCCUCAGGAUGAGGAAGUGGAUACUUCAGGAUGAAGUCAGGGACACCUCCAGGAUGGAGAAGUGAGCCGGAAUAAGGACAGUACGGCGACGCAAGGACGGUACAAGGACGAUUGUCAGGACGACAAAAGGACAGCUUCACGGAUUGAAGAGCAUAAAGGACAAGCCAUAGGAUAUGGUGAGAUUCACGGAGUGAUGCAGGGAGCACACUUUGCAGCAGGAUGGCUGUAGCAAGACCUGAGAGGGGUAUCGUUUCGACGAUACCCCUUUCUUCUUAU
rfam:Plesiomonas shigelloides 302-73 genomic scaffold scaffold00012, whole genome shotgun sequence.